GUGAGUUUCUCCCACUGGUGAC
rnacentral:miRNA from 1 species